GUGGAGUUAGAAAACCUGCCUGUGACGCCUUGCAUUAUUGUGUGUGUGGACCCUCCUGCUAUGCUGCUGUCCGAUUCAUGCUAGCUGUGGACCGCAAGAUUGUGAAUGAUGACAUCACUUCUUUCAUCUCUGCUGUUUGCCUAAUGUUCGACAGUUAUUACUGCUCCAACAUUAACUACCCUACUGAACUGGCGUCACUGCUUGAAUUCCUGCAAAGGUGUUUUUUCAUCAUCAAUCCGGAGAAAGGGAAUAAAGGAGGAAGAUGGAAAAGAAAAAAAAAGCUACUCCCAGUUAACCCAAGAGUCUUCACCCUAAUCGCUGACCUUUCUGAUCAUGAAUGGCGAGAGACUUUGUAAAGGUGGUCUGCAGACUGUUUCCAAGUUUAUACUCGGGGUGAGAGACUUUGUAAAGGUGGCCUGCAGAGUGUUUCCAAGUUUAUAAUCUCUUAAAGGGUUAUUUCAGACUUGAAUCAAA